CAGUGGCUUCAGGAGUGAACAGUGGGUUACAUGGCCAUCACUAAAACUGAACAGGCAAAUGUGAAAUCAAGGGUAAAUAACAACCAAAGGUCUUAAAUAAAUAUUAUUAAGCUGGAUUCAAUGCAAAAUCAAUGGUGACAGCUCAUCUGUGAUCAAACUGUACUUAUUCUUUACAAUUGCCUUUCCCCAAGGAGGAACUUGAACUUGGCCUAACUGGCUUCAUUACUGACUUUGCAGAACACCACCUAGGGAAGUGCUGAGAGGUGAGACAGUGUGAUUACAACUCACCCAGAUCCAGUUCAGGACCAACAGCACCCUGGAACAGUGGGUUCCUAACCAUGGGCUGCCAUCUAAAGUCACCUAAGAUGCUUUCAGCCGAGAAAUGUUUGACAUUUCCUGGUGAUUCCAGUGCAUUACCACAGACUCUCAAAAGAAGCCACUGGCUGCCAGCUGAAUGACAGCAAGACUCACAGUGGAGAUGAACAAACAAUGGGGGGGGGCAGAAAGACAAUGACAAGGCAGGUGCCUGGACUGCAGCCCCAGAGUCCCCUCACUCCACUCAUGCUGCAGAUUUCUCCUCUGCCUCCUGGAUAUCUGAGCCAGCUUCCU